rnacentral:tRNA from 1 species
AUAAAGCAAUAGAUUAACUGAUUUGUAAUCAGUAGGUCCACGGUUCGAGUCCGUGU